AAAAAUCACUAGGGGUGCCUUUUAAAAAGGCUGAGAUUAAAGUGAUGAACUUUAAGACCCUUUGAACCUGAUACGGUUGAUGCCGGCGAAGGGAAGUGACCGAACGAUAAU
rnacentral:ncRNA from 1 species